UGGGGAAUAUUGGACAAUGGGGGAACCCUGAUCCAGCCAUGCCGCGUGUGUGAAGAAGGCCUUAUGGUUGUAAAGCACUUUAAGCGAGGAGGAGGGUACUGGUAUUAAUACUACCAGGUACUGGACGUUACUCGCAGAAUAAGCACCGGCUAACUCUGUGCCAGCAGCCGCGGUAAUACAGUGGGUGCGAGCGUUAAUCGGAUUUACUGGGCGUAAAGCGUGCGUAGGCGGCUAAUUGAGUCGGAUGUGAAAUCCCCGAGCUUAACUUGGGAAUUGCAUUCGAUACUGGUUAGCUAGAGUGUGGGAGAGGAUGGUAGAAUUCCAGGUGUAGCGGUGAAAUGCGUAGAGAUCUGGAGGAAUACCGAUGGCGAAGGCAGCCAUCUGGCCUAACACUGACGCUGAGGUACGAAAGCAUGGGGAGCAAACAGG
rnacentral:rRNA from 1 species